GAAACUGCUGCUAAUACCUGAUAUAUUCUUCGGAAUGAAAUGGUCCGCCGCCGAGGGAGGGGCCUGCGGCGUAUUAGCUUGAUGGUGAGGUAACGGCUCACCAUGGCGAUGAUGCGUAGCUGGUCUGAGAGGACGAUCAGCCAGACUGGGACUGAGACACGGCCCAGACUCCUACGGGAGGCAGCAGUUCAGAAUCUUGCACAAUGGGCGAAAGCCUGAUGCAGCCAUGCCGCGUGUGCGAAGAAGGCCCUCGGGUCGUAAAGCACUGUCAGAGGGGAAGAUUAUGACGGUACCCUCAAAGGAAGCAACGGCUAAUUACGUGCCAGCAGCCGCGGUAAUACGUAAGUUGCGAGCGUUAUCCGGAAUCACUGGGCGUAAAGCGUUCGUAGGCGGUGCAGCAAGUCAGGUUUGAAAUCCCAGGGCUCAACUCUGGAUCCGGAUUUGAAACUGCUGUGCUCGAGCAGAUCAGAGGGUAGCGGAAUUCCCGGUGUAGCGGUAAUAUGCGUAGAUAUCGGGAGGAACACCAGUGGCGAAGGCGGCUACCU
rnacentral:rRNA from 1 species